rnacentral:rRNA from 1 species
CCUACGGGUGGCAGCAGUGGGGAAUAUUGGGCAAUGGGCGCAAGCCUGACCCAGCAACGCCGCGUGAAGGAAGAAGGCUUUCGGGUUGGAAACUUCUUUUCUCAGGGACGAAGCAAGUGACGGGACCUGAGGAAUAAGCCACGGCUAACUACGUGCCAGCAGUCGCGGUAAUACGUAGGUGGCAAGCGUUAUCCGGAUUUACUGGGUGUAAAGGGAGUGUAGGCGGGACUGCAAGUCAGAUGUGAAAACUACGGGCUCAACCUGUGGACUGCAUUUGACACUGUAAUUCUUGAGUACAGGAGAGGCAGACGGAAUUCCUGGUGUAGCGGUGAAAUGCGUAGAUAUUAGGAAGAACUCCAGUUGCGAAGGCAGUCUGCAGGACAGCAACUGACGCUGAGGCGCGAAAGCGUGGGGAGCAAACAGGAUUAGAUACCCGAGUAGUC